CUAUAUUCGCUUGGAAGGCCCACCUUGUUCUUAAGAAGAAAUUUAACCUAGCCUUGAAAAUUAAAUGAUACAGAAUAGCAGUGCUUUUUGUGUGUGUUUUUUUAAUGAAACAGUGAAUGUAUUUAUUUGUGAACAUUGUAUACAUGUUAUUUAUUUAUAUCAAUAUUGUACUUUUUAACCUCGUCUGUAUUUGAAGUAGCAAUGUUGGCGGUGGCAGCUGCAGCAUGUAUGUGUGUAUUUUCGUAUGAACAAAUUCAUAUUUAUGUUGUUUAUGUUAGACUAGUUCAC
rnacentral:lncRNA from 1 species